CGGCGGCCAGGGCCGCGCGGUCCCUCCGGGCCGGGCCCGGUGCCUCCCGAGCUCCCGAGGCCGUGGCCGGCAGCUGCGGUCGUGCCGUGGAGCCCCGGCACAGGAUGUAGGGUCCCGGGCCGGUCCGUCGCGGCCCGUGCCUUGAUCGUGUCCCCGCGGUGAAGCCGCGGGACAGAACAGGAGCCUUUGGCACAGCCCACGGCUCAGGCCGUGCGUUACCGGGGAUAAUUGCAGAUUAUAUUUUUGUAAAUAUGCACAGAACCGCGAAGAUGGGAAGAGAAAAAAGCACAGGCACCAAAGGAAAUUGUGGAGGCUGCACCAGCAACUCUGGAAAGGUGACAGGGACGCACAGCCAGCAGGCCAGGAACAGGCACCACGAGGAACAGGAACGCUGUGAACACCUGGGAACACCUGCAGCUCCAGGAGGCCGGAGGUGUGGUGCGGACUGGGGGUGGCUGGGCUCCCCUGCUCGCCCAGGCAGCUGUGUGGGGACAGCCCCGGCUCACCGGAGCACCGGACAACACGCGGAUGCUGCAGCGUUCUUCAUCCCUGUCCCGGGCAGCAAUGACAGUGUUUAAUAUUUGUCCUCUUUGUGCUUGUACACCGAGCGCUACCUGGGCGCUUUACCAAAUAAAUUUACCAAAUAAAUACAAA